UGGGAAGACGGACUGUGUUUCCAAGGAGC
rnacentral:piRNA from 1 species